UACGUAGGGGGCUAGCGUUGUCCGGAAUCAUUGGGCGUAAAGAGCGUGUAGGCGGUCCGGUAAGUCCGCUGUGAAAGUCGGGGGCUCAACCCUCGAAUGCCGGUGGAUACUGUCGGGCUAGAGUGCGGAAGAGGCGAGUGGAAUUCCGUGGGUGUAGCGGUGAAAUGCGCAGAGUAUCAGGAGGAACACCUAUUGCGAAGGCAGCUCGCUGGGACGUAACUGACGCUGAGACGCGAAAGCGUGGGGAGCAAACAGG
rnacentral:rRNA from 1 species